rnacentral:rRNA from 1 species
CUUACGGGGGGGACUCAUAGGAGACUGCCGGGGUCAACUCGGAGGAAGGUGGGGAUGACGUCAAGUCAUCAUGCCCCUUAUGUCCAGGGCUUCACCCAUGCUACAAUGGCCGGUACAAAGGGCUGCGAUACCGCGAGGUGGAGCGAAUCCCAAAAAACCGGUCUCAGUUCGGAUUGGGGUCUGCAACUCGACCCCAUGAAGUCGGAGUCGCUAGUAAUCGCAGAUCA